AGCAGCCGCGGUAAUUCCAGCUCCAAUAGCGUAUAUUAAAGUUGUUGCAGUUAAAAAGCUCGUAGUUGAAUUUCGGGAUCAAUAUGUCGGUCGUGCCUUCGGUACGUACUGGUAUCAUUGGUCUCUCCUUUCUGACGAACCAUGAUGUCAUUAAUUUGGUGUUAUGGGGAGUUAGGACUGUUACUUUGAAAAAUUAGAGUGUUUAAAGCAGGCUUUAGCUUGAAUACAUUAGCAUGGAAUAAUGAAAUAGGACGUUCGAACCUAUUUUGUUGGUUUCUAGGAUCAACGUAAUGAUUAAUAGGGAUAGUUGGGGGCAUUAGUAUUCAAUUGUCAGAGGUGAAAUUCUUGGAUUUAUUGAAGACUAACUACUGCGAAAGCAUUUGCCAAGGAUGUUUUCAUUAAUCAAGAACGAAAGUUAGGGGAUCGAAGACGAUCAGAUACCGUCGUAGUCUUAACCAUAAACUAUGCCGACUAGGGAUCGGAUGAUGUUAAUUUUUAAUGUACUCAUUCGGCGUCCUUA
rnacentral:rRNA from 1 species